rnacentral:lncRNA from 7 species
AUUUUGGUAGUCUCACCCCUUCAAAAAUAUCAAGUUAAGUUUGUUUGAGUCUGCCCACAGUGAAGUUUUAUUUGCUUCUGCUUCUGCCUAUAUCCAGUGAAUAGGUGGGAUAUUUUAACAGUGAGCUCACCCAAGUUCAAUGUUUUGAGUUGUGUCUAUGAACUUGGGUGGAGGUGGUUCAUGAGAGCCACGUAUGGUAACCCUGUUGUGCUGACAUCUUUGGGAUUCCUCUUCAUCGAGUUGUGGUUAAGCUUGAUGGUUCCCUCCCCCUUGCUCUACAUAUAUUCGGUGGCUGCAAACUGAAUUCAGUGAAGCCCCCUUUCUACACUUAAAUCUAGCCAAGGUUCUCUACAUAUGAGAGGUGUUCCUGGUGUCCCCAAGACUACACAGCCCCUCCCAGUCUCAAAGUGGAUCUGCUCUAGAGUUCGAGCAUCAGUUCCUGUGUCUGUGGUAACAACAGCCACCAUCCUCCCACCUCACCGUGG